AUGAUUCGUGGGACGUCCUGCCGGUGGUGGCGAGUCGAAGGCGUGCUCCCGUUGUGGUUUUCCACUUCGGUUCUUGCGCGCUCGAGGCGGACCCCGAUGAAAUCCUACCGCGGUGCUCUUCGCCGAGUGUCGAGGUGGGCCGGCACGUUUACUUUGAACAAAUUAGAGUGCUUAAAGUAGGCCUGUUGCGCCUGAAUACUGUGUGCAUGGAAUAAUGGAAUAGGACCUCGGUUCUAUUUUGUUGGUUUUCGGAACCCGAGGUAAUGAUUAAUAGGGACAGGCGGGGGCAUUCGUAUUGCGACGUUAGAGGUGAAAUUCUUGGAUCGUCGCAAGACGGACCGAAGCGAAAGCAUUUGCCAAGUAUGUUUUCAUUAAUCAAGAACGAAAGUUAGAGGUUCGAAGGCGAUCAGAUACCGCCCUAGUUCUAACCAUAAACGAUGCCAGCUAGCGAUCCGCCGAAGUUCCUCCGAUGACUCGGCGGGCAGCUCCCGGGAAACCAAAGCUUUUGGGUUCCGGGGAAGUAUGGUUGCAAG
rnacentral:rRNA from 1 species